rnacentral:rRNA from 1 species
AUUCCAGCUCCAAUAGCGUAUAUUAAAGUUGUUGCAGUUAAAACGCUCGUAGUCGGAUUUCAAUGCGGGUUGACCGGUCUGCCGAUGGGUAUGCACUGGUCGGCGCGUCCUUCCUUCCGGAGACCGUGCCUACUCUUAACUGAGCGGGGGCGGGAGACGGAUCGUUUACUUUGAAAAAAUCAGAGUGUUUCAAGCAGGCAGCUCGCUCUUGCAUGGAUUAGCAUGGGAUAAUGAAAUAGGACUUUGGUGCUAUUUUGUUGGUUUCGAACACCGAAGUAAUGAUUAACAGGGACAGUCAGGGGCACUCGUAUUCCGCCGAGAGAGGUGAAAUUCUCAGACCAGCGGAAGACGAACCACUGCGAAAGCAUUUGCCAGGGAUGUUUUCAUUA